CUGAGGAGAGUAUUAUUACCGGAUACAGCGAAUGACAGAGAGAAGAGUAAGGAAAUCAAGAAAAAGGAAGCAGCAAGCUAUUUCCCCCACCUUCGUUCUUGCUACCGCUUAAUGUAUUCAUUCGUUUAGUUUAAUGUGUACUUGCUCGUCAGCGAUCAUGGCUUUAGUCUCUUCAAAUCAGCCUCCUAUAAUCUGAGAGGAGUAUUUUGGUUUUCUCCUUGGUUGAUUUUUUUAUGUUUUCUGUUUCAGUGACGGGGGAUACGGAGAGUUGCAGUAGCAGAGCUGUUGUCUUUGCGCCAAGCCAGAGCCGAAAACAGAGGCAAAAGGUUGACGUGUGUAUUGAAAUUCUCUGUAGGCUUAGAGAACUGAAUAUUGAAGAGGCAAGCCUUCCUGGUUUUGAAGAUGAGCUAUGGGCUCAUUUCCAUAAACUCCCUACUAGAUGCUCACUUGAUGUGAAUGCGGAGAGAGCACUAGAUGUUCUAAUGCACAAAAAGUUAUUAGAUAUGGCCCGUGAUUCCUCUGGCAGGCCCGCCAUGGAAUUCCUUCCUGUACAGGUAUUUUCACCUUUUGAUCGAAAUCAUGAUGGUUCAGUGCAUUUAAGGUCUCUAGGGAAAGCAGAUGCUCAAUGUUCAGAUAAUCCAGACAAGGGCAGCAUUCAUCCUCCACCUACCUUUGGUUCUUCACCUGAUCUCAAGCUUGUAUAUGCAGCAAAGAAUUCAAACUUUGAAACAAGGAUGUUGUCCCAAAUGCUAGUCCAUGUUUCUCUCAGUUAAUAUUUCUGAAAAGUUCUCUUUAGAGUGUCUUGAAUCAAAAUAAAUUAAACAACCAUGGGGAAGAGUGUUCAUAUAUUCUCCAAGAAAGUAAAGGAAAAUAUUGGGGAGAUCCUUCGAUCAUAAGCUAAUGCAUGAAAUUACAAUCUCAACAACCGACAAGCCAAAACUCAAAACUCAG